rnacentral:rRNA from 1 species
UACAGAGGUGGCAAGCGUUGUUCGGAAUUACUGGGCGUAAAGGGCGCGUAGGCGGCCAUCUAAGUCAGAUGUGAAAUCCCCCGGCUUAACCUGGGAACUGCGUCCGAUACUGGAGGGCUUGAAUUCGGGAGAGGGAUGCAGAAUUCCAGGUGUAGCGGUGAAAUGCGUAGAUAUCUGGAGGAAUACCGGUGGCGAAGGCGACAUCCUGGACCGACAUUGACGCUGAGGAGCGAAAGCUAGGGGAGCAAACGGG